rfam:Glycine max cultivar Williams 82 chromosome 9, whole genome shotgun sequence.
AUGUUAACGUAUGAUAUGUUAACAUCGGUUUUUUAAAAAACCGAUGUUAAUGCAUAUACGUUAACAU